rnacentral:lncRNA from 1 species
UCUGUCUCCUGAAGUGUUGUGAUUACAGGCAUGAGCCACCGCACCUGGCCAAGAUGCUUUUUCUGUUUCUGAGAUACAAUGAACUAUAUCUUAAGAAUUCAUAAAGCCCUAAAAAGUAAAUAUUUACAACCAGAAAUCUUUCUGACAAAGAAACAAGAUUACUCAAAGUAAGUAGUAGUUUGGGCUCCCUGGAAAGAACCCAGAACUUAAGUGUCAGGAAAUGUGGAUAGUUCUGAAUGUGCCCCUGGCUGGUUGAUGACUCUGGGCAACUUAUGCAGUACCUCUAACUCAUGGUUUAUUUACCUGAAAAAUAAGUGGGUUGGCUAUGUCUGUGGUUUGAAAGGUGCUCUAUGAUGUCCCAGAUGUCUUAGCAGUGUAUCAUUGGCUGUUUUGGAGGCUGUCAGGGGUCCAGAUGGCUGCUCCCACUGAGCCUGCUUUUAACAGAGCUUUUCAGUUUGUAUUUCUUGUAUACACAAAGUAAUAUUAAAUAAAAAAAAUAUAAUCCAGCUAAGAAAGUUUGAGAAUACUGGCUUGAGAUUCAAAAUAAAAUAAACCAAAAAUUUUAGAAAUUAUAUUAGUCUAGAAAGAUAGUAUUGUGUCUCUUUGUCUUUUUAGUACCUAGCACAUAUCAGGUACUUGAUACAUAUUUAUCAUAUGAAUGCAAUGGUUGUAAUGAACAACUGGGAAGGAAAUGCAAAAGCAGAAGGCACCAUAUUUGUGUUGCUAUUCCUGGGUGUCAUUUCUAUGUAACUUGUGAUAACCAGUAGUAAAGAACAACAUGGACUAUGUUUAAUAGACAACAACUAAUUUUAUUGGAUUUGUGUACAUAAUCUGAAAUUUAGUCUAAGGACAAGCCAUAUUACUAUAAAUUCCAGGAAAUCUAGAGAGAAAAAAUGGGCAAUUUAGAACAGACUAGAAGAGUAACUCUUUCAGUUUGUCUGGAAAACCGAAUCUAAGGAAUAAGGUCAGUUUGCAGUUUCUUUCAAGUAGAAUUGGUGACUCUUGGAUGCAGUUUAUAAACACGUAACACAUUUUCCUUGCAUGGAAAUAUAUCUAUUCUAUGACCUCUUCUACAUGAAGAAAAGAUUUGAAAUUUUCUUCUCCAUUAAAUAAUGUUUUGUGUGCAUGUUGCAAAAAUAAGAGAGAAGCAAGAAUAACUCUAGCAGAUGCUUAAAGGUUUAAGAUUAAAGACACAUGUAAAUGUGAUUCAUAGUGGGUGUUCUGUGCACUUGAGUGAAUAUUCCCAAAUCACAGCUAGAAAAAUUUAGGAGUAAAUUGACUUAACUUAUGGUAAAUCAAUAGGGGUCCCUGAAUUGGAGGGAAACAGAUGAGCAAGAAAAAAAUUAUUUGACAGGACUCCACUAAGGAAAACAACAUUCAAGUAACAGAUGAGGUAUUCUACUGCCCAGAGGAAUUACCCAGCCUUUAGCAAGGCGAAGUCAGCCUCAACUGGCAGGAGGUUUGUUUUAAAACUGAAAUGAGAAAAAGGAUCUGGGCUUACAAAUGAUGGGAAGAUAUAUUAUCAACAGGGAAAAAAACCCCCAGAAAAUAGCAACUAACUUGUUUCCCCAGCACAACUGAAAGGAUGAAGAAGGAAAACAAUUUAAUGUACCCUGGUCAUGCAGUUACUUUCCUUUAUCCUUACUAACAGUGCUUGUCAAGAUGGUUCUGGAAACUGAAUAAAUUGUUAUUAACUAAAUUCUAAAAGCUUCAUAUAAUCAUCUGAUACAUACAUCACAUCAAUUUCAGCCUAGGCUCUCUAUGGUGGCAAAUUAUUUCAGCACUAAAUCAUGAAGGCUGGAUUCUUGAAGCCUGGCAGAGGCAAAUGUCUCAUUAAUGCUGAUCUGAGAGACAUCUGUGAUGAGCCUGAACAUCAGGCCAAUCUGCAGAGCUGAUCAGGGGCUGCUGAGUGGUUCUGAAGUGAGUCAGGCUGUGAAUGAAGACUCCACCAGAAUGAGGAGAAUUCCAUGCAUGGAGAUUCAAAUAAAGACAAAAGGGAGAUGCAACUAUGGAGGCUGAGAAGUCCCACCAUCGGAGCGCCUCUGCCCCGCCGCCCCAUCUGGGAUGUGAGGAGCGCCUCUGCCCGGCCGAGACCCCGUCUGGGAGGUGAGGAGCGUCUCUGCCCGGCCGCCCCGUCUGAGAAGUGAGGAGACCCUCUGCCUGGCAACCACCCCGUCUGAGAAGUGAGGAGCCCCUCCGCCCGGCAGCUGCCCCGUCUGAGAAGUGAGGAGCCUCUCCGCCCGGCAGCCACCCCAUCUGGGAAGUGAGGAGCGUCUCCGCCCGGCAGCCACCCCGUCCGGGAGGGAGGUGGGGGGGGGUCAGCCCCCC